ACUCCUACGGGAGGCAGCAGUAGGGAAUCUUCCGCAAUGGGCGAAAGCCUGACGGAGCAACGCCGCGUGAGUGAUGAAGGUCUUCGGAUCGUAAAACUCUGUUAUUAGGGAAGAACAAACGUGUAAGUAACUGUGCACGUCUUGACGGUACCUAAUCAGAAAGCCACGGCUAACUACGUGCCAGCAGCCGCGGUAAUACGUAGGUGGCAAGCGUUAUCCGGAAUUAUUGGGCGUAAAGCGCGCGUAGGCGGUUUUUAAGUCUGAUGUGAAAGCCCACGGCUCAACCGUGGAGGGUCAUUGGAAACUGGAAAACUUGAGUGCAGAAGAGGAAAGUGGAAUUCCAUGUGUAGCGGUGAAAUGCGCAGAGAUAUGGAGGAACACCAGUGGCGAAGGCGACUUUCUGGUCUGUAACUGACGCUGAUGUGCGAAAGCGUGGGGAU
rnacentral:rRNA from 1 species